AAGUCGUAACAAGGUUUCCGUAGGUGAACCUGCGGAAGGAUCAUUAUCGUAUCAACUCGGGCGCCGUCCGGCGAGGCCCUGCACCGGCGGAGACGCCGUGCUGCGGGCCCCCGGCGCGCCUUCCACAACCAAACCCCUGUGCACCUUUUGGGAAGGCGGGUGCGCGGAGACGCGUUCCCGUCGGCCCCUCCAUUCACAAGCUCUUUCUUCGUACAGAAUGCCCGCGGACUUACGUCCGUCUAAAACAAAUGACAACUUUCAACAACGGAUCUCUUGGCUCUC
rnacentral:misc_RNA from 1 species